GCUUCUAUCUCUCAUUCAUACCCGAAAAUUUCAGCUAAAAUUUCUCCCCAAACGUAUUGGGUAACGCUUCUACCUCUCAUUCAUACCCGAAAAUUUCAACUAAAAUUUCUCCCCAAUUCUGAAAACCAAACCCUAUAACUAUUCUCCCCAACUCUGAAAAUCGAAAACUCAAAACACAUCUCUUCUCCACUUUUUUUCCUUCCCCCAAAUCGCAAAAUCUCCUCUCCCUAUCCUCCCACUCCGAGACCAUACAGGCUUAUACGGUUACCGAACCUCAAUGGAAAAUUCUUCGUUGAAUCUGCCUACCAUCUUGCAACCCAACUCACUGAUAUGCCAACCAUGAUGUUCGCUGGAAAAAGCUUUGGAUGUCAAAUACCCUAAAAGGAUUAAGAGAAUUACCUCCUCAGCUGCUUCGCUCAUAUCGAAGAGUGGUGUGGGCAUGGGAGGUUCAUGGACAAGAGAAUCGUCUAAUACAGGUUUCUUUUGAAUGUGCUGAUACUAUAUAGUUCAUCAAUAAGGCAAGGCCAUGGAUUACAUUGAUGGUCGUUGGCUGGGAAUAUGGUGCAAACAUGUUGACGAAGUACUUGGCAGAAGCUGGAGAGAAUACACCGCUUAUAGCUGCCACGUGCAUAGACAAUCCAUUUGACUUAGAGGAGGCUACAAGGUCCUCUCCUUAUCACAUGGCCAUUGAUCAGAAGCUCAUUGGUGGACUGAUAGAUAUUCUAAGAUCUAAUAAGGAACUAUUUCAAGACAAAGCAAAAGGGUUUGACAUGGAGAAGGCUUUAUUGGCAAAGUCUUUUCAUGAUUUUGAAAAAGCAAUAUCUAUGGUAUCUUAGCACAAGGGACGUGGUUGGGAAUGUGAGCAAGCAAAGGAAGAUUUAUAAAACUCAAUGUUUUAUGUUGAAUAAAUAUAUGAUGUACUCUUCUAUAUAAUGCAGAUUUGUUGUAUUAUGUUCUUUCUCUACUCUUUUUGAGUCAUAGCAAAAGAAUUUGACAUUGGUAACUAUAUUCUAUUUAUUUAUUAUGAA